GGUUGACCUCGGAUCAGGUAGGGAUACCCGCUGAACUUAAGCAUAUCUA
rnacentral:rRNA from 3 species